rnacentral:rRNA from 1 species
AGAAUCAACGCUGGCGGCGUGCCUAACACAUGCAAGUCGAACGAGAAAGUGGAGCAAUCCAUGAGUAAAGUGGCGCACGGGUGAGUAACACGUGACUAACCUACCCUUGAGUGGGGGAUAACCUAGAGAAAUCUGGGCUAAUACCGCAUAAUACCUUCGGGUCAAAGGAGCAAUUCGCUUAAGGAGGGGGUCGCGGCCGAUUAGUUAGUUGGCGGGGUAAUGGCCCACCAAGACUGUGAUCGGUAUCCGGCCUGAGAGGGCGCACGGACACACUGGAACUGAAACACGGUCCAGACUCCUACGGGAGGCAGCAGUGGGAAUUUGCGCAAUGGGGGAAACCCUGACGCAGCAACGCCGCGUGGAGGAUGAAGCCCCUUGGGGCGUAAACUCCUUUCGAUCGGGAAGAUAAUGACGGUACCGAGAGAAGAAGCCCGGCUAACUUCGCGCCAGCAGCCGC